UAGUCAUAUGCUUGUCUCAAAGAUUAAGCCAUGCAUGUCUAAGCACAAGCCGAUUAAUGGUGAAGCCGCGAAUGGCUCAUUACAACAGCCAUAGUUUCUUAGAUCUUACUUUUCUACUUGGAUAACUGUGGUAAUUCUAGAGCUAAUACACGCAAACAAGCUCAGACCUUACGGAAUGAGCGCAUUUAUUAGAACAAAAACCAAUCGGGCUUCGGUCCGUCAUUUGGUGAAUCUGAAUAACUUUGCUGAUCGCACGGUCUUCGUACCGGCGACAUAUCUUUCAAAUGUCUGCCUUAUCAACUCUCGAUGGUAGUUUAUGCGCCUACCAUGGUUGUAACGGGUAACGGAGAAUAAGGGUUCGACUCCGGAGAGGGAGCCUGAGAAACGGCUACCACAUCCAAGGAAGGCAGCAGGCACGCAAAUUACCCACUCCCGGCACGGGGAGGUAGUGACGAAAAAUAACGAGACGGCUCGCUAUGCGGUCCGUCAUCGGAAUGGGUACAAUUUAAAUCCUUUAACGAGGAUCUAUU
rnacentral:rRNA from 1 species